rnacentral:misc_RNA from 1 species
GACAAUUGCUUACCAAUGCAAAAGGAAUACAUGAAAACAACAACGGAAAACGACAUUUCAUUUCAUACAUAAUAAAUUCGUCCAUGCAGAUAUUCCCAAAACAAACCAGCAAGCUUUAUUAUAACAUUUUCCCCUAAAUGCUUAACUCAUUAAUCAGUGAAAUUAGCAAUAGCAGCAUGUGGGUGGGCAGCCUUAGCAUCAGGGUGCGGCUCUACAGAAGGGUUCGGGUCAACAGGAUCGCCUAGCAGCUCCUCAGGCAAGUCCUUAAUCCCCUUCAAGUAAAAGGUAUAGAACAGCUUGAAUGGAAAUACUAACUGUUGGAGCUUAACUUGACCAGACACCCCUUCAAAAAUGCCCGACCCACCUGUCACCGCCAGAUACGUAUCCUCGUAGGUCAAGUAGGGUCCCUGCACCGAUAUCUGCCCGUACUCACCGAAGUAGAAGCUGUAUAUGGCUUCGUAACGGUCGCCAUUCUUCUCUGGCUUGUUUUGGAUCAGCACACAUAUUCCUGCCGUUAUUCCUAUACGUUUUUUCAGGUCUCCCGUGUAAACUUUGUUGGUAAAAGGAACAAGAUCACCAAGAGAAUUGACAGGUUUCUGGCUCAAGCGGAGAAAAGCUGGACUCCCACGAUCUCUCUCAUUGAUCUCGUACACAUACAGCUCUUGAACCUUGCUGGGUCUCGUGUCAUCAGAUGAGGCCGCUUGGUUUCUGCAGGAGAAAGAUCUCUUGGUGACAGAGAAGCUGUUAAAGCUUGAAGUCUUUGAAAGAAGGAGUCUUGAAUUCUCAGUGAGAGAUGGGGUUGCAAGCUUGAAAGGCAACACUGAUUUGGUGGGUGCAACGAUGGAUUUAGAUCCUUCAGCAGGGCUGUUGGUCACCUUGGCAGAACAAUUUGUUCCGGGAGAAGACGUAAAGCAAGCCAUUAAUUUGUCUUGAUGGUUCUUUAAAUCUUGGAGUUUGGGAGGACAGAAGGUGAGGAAACAGAGUGGUUGUGGUGGGCUUAUAUAGAAGAAGAGUGCCAAACAGUGUGGGGGCUCAGUGGUG